rnacentral:lncRNA from 1 species
GGGGGGGCCGACUCCUGGAGCUGCCUGGCCUGCGAGGGCGGCCUUAGCGUAGGUCCUGGCGCCCACGCCCCUGCCGUCCCGUGUUGCCGACAGUCCCACGUUGCUGACCGCCCAGCUCCGGCGAGAUCUGGGGCCAGGGGCGCCCUGUGCCCCCUCCCCUCCCUCCGUUUUCUUACACUGUGAGGCUCUGUAUGAUUAACUCGGGUUUGAGAUUUAACACUAGCACAUGCACAGAGUUUUAAGAAAUUCAAACCCGAAGGUAUCAAAGGAAAAGAAUCACCUGGCGGGACCCAGCCCUCGCAGUGGUCCAGAGAAGGCCAGCUGCAGGGGAUGGAGAAGCAGGAGGUGACCUGAGAGACAGGGCAGCCAUGGGGUCUGGAGAAGCACGCAGUCUGGAGGUUCUGCGUGUCAGCCUCAGCUCCCCAUGCCUGCCAUCUGCCCUCCUGCUCCUCUGCUGUCCACUGGCCUUGGCCACCCUGGCUCCCAGGCUGCCCUAGCUCCCAGCGCAGUGGCUGCUCACACAAGCCAAGUGCCCUGGGUCUGCCCUCCUGACCCUCAGGCCUCUGUGGGGUUCCUUCCUUGCCUCAGGUAUGGUCUGUGUCUCCCCUGACUUCCCCCCUCCCCCAUCUGGGUAGCCCACACACACCCUGCACACACCAGAACACAAGCUUCCUGAAGACAAGGCCUGGUUUUUCACUGUUUUAUCCUCAUUUCCUAAAAAAAAGGCUUAGGUACACGUGAAAAGGGUUACUAAGCAUUCUUCACCGUGGCUACCUGAGUCUCCUUCCAGGUCCUCGUCACCUGCUGGACUUCAUCCCGUCAAGACCUCCAUACAUGGUGUUUACUGCGAGUUUAACAUGCAAGUUAGGACAGCAGCUUUUCCUUGGCUCAAACUCCACCGUUGCUGCCUCUAACUCUGAGACCUCAGAGGCUUCUGUAGGGUGUGCUGUCGUGCGCCAUCCAGAUGCCCCCAGUCCCCAAGACCAAGGCUCUGCCUCCAUCAAGACAACUGACCAGCAGCCUCAGCUGCUGAGCAUCUCGGAGGGUCAGCCGAGGCCCCGCAGACCUGCACAGUGGUCAAGAUACUCCUCUGCCCGAUCCUUCUUCCCUCCCAUGCUCACAGGACUUUUCUUCCGAGAACACUCCCAAUAACCUCUUGCACACAAACCUCUGCUUCAGAGUUUGUGUCCAGGGGAGCCCAGCAGAAGAUGGUGGGGCCAGGAGUGUUCCAGGAGCAGCCUGUAUGGUGGGGUUGAGCACAGAAUGCCAAGUGGCACAUCACUGGUGGCACCACAGCCCUGCCAGGCAGUAGUAGCACUGAGCCAGGGUGGAAGCCCAAUGAAAGAAACACACUGCUGGGUGCCGCAUCCAGGGCAUCGGAGUGGCUGGGAAGAGCAGCAACCAUCUGCAUUACAGAAUCAGGCGGCUCUUGCCAAGAACAAGGCAAUGAAAAGAUCUCCAAUUUUUAAAAAAAGUGACAAAAAGAGGGCUUCCUUGGUGCCAUAUAGACACUCUCCUCUCCUGCAGCCAGAGAACCAAAAAGAGCCGUGGAUCAAGACUCAGUCCUAAAGACAGCAGCCCUCAACCCAAGGGAGGCUGCUGCCCAAUGGCAGGACCUGGUUGGGAAGAAGGGAGACCCUGAGGCUUCAGGGAGGGUCAUCUGAUCAAUACACUCAAAUUCUUGAACCUCAGGUUUCCCUACAUCUUCUGGACCCGAAGAGGUGUCCUUCUUCUCCCUGUUGAAGGCAAAUGCUCUAUCUGUGCUGGAACAUGACGCAGAGAUGUCUGUAUGAUGACACGGAUUCCCCAGUGAUCUGCUCCAGCUCUGCUCCUCCAUGACAUCAGUGUCACGCAGCUGGAGAAGCUCAGGGUCUGACGAGGAAGGAAGGACCUGUCAGCAAACGAGCGUCAGGACCCAGGAAACAUGUACCAGCAGGAGCUGGGAGAGUGCAUGCAGAACCAGAUCCAGAGGACACUGGAUUUGGGGAGGCAGAACACAAAGGUUGAUCAGAAUUCUCUUCUGCACUCCCCUAAAAGGACGUUUGCAGUCUCAGUGACUCACCUUUGCUGCCGUGCUUCAGUGCCUGGCACAUAGUAAAAUCUCAACUAGUACCUGUGGAAUGAGUGUGGUGGUUUCUCCUGUUGUCUCACAAAAAAGCUAGGAAUAUAACAUUCAAUCAGAAUUCUGAUACAAUCUAUUCAGACACCUGGGCGUCAAAGAAUGGGGCUCUGCAGUGACUGACAGCUUGGAGAGGAAGUGCGCAAAGUCCAGAGAGAUGAGUCACAGCACACCCUCGAACCUCCAUCAAAUUAUCCAGGAGGCAAAGGAGAGAGGCAGCUGAUUCCCGCCACUGGGGCUGGGACUUGCUGUGCGGACUCUGCUCUGACUCUCGAUUCUCACGGCACAGGCUCCACGGGAGCAAGGGCCCGGGAGCCGUGGGAAGCCUGCGUGGGACCCGCAGACCCCUGUCCAGGGAACCACGUGACAUGCACAGCAGCGGGUCCCGAACUGUCCUCAGCACCAUGGCAACCAGGAGCAAGGUUUCUCAGCAGCCUGGGAGGCUGGUCCUUCAGCAAACAUCAGACUACAAGACCCACAGAAGAGCAAAGAAACUUCAAAGGGGAAGACAUACUUGCGUGCCCAGACCACAACACAAGUAUGUUUAUUUCUGUUUGUUUCCUUCAAGGUUUUAUGAAUAUUUGUACCCAGUUUUACACAGCGGCCAUACAAUGUGGGUGACUUACUCUGCCUACCGAGUCAUUUGUUUAGCAGACCUGUACUGAGCACCUGGCAUGUGUGCCGCACUUGUGAGCUCCUGUGGGAACAUCAGAAAAAUACAACACACGCGCCCACCCAGGGGUGGCCAGCAAGGAACCAGGGUGCUUGCCACCCCGCAGCUCUCUACCUCCUGUGUGAGCUCAGUUCACAACGGUGCAGCAGCAGAGACAGAGGAGGCCAAGCUGGGCUCCAAGGUGCAGGUGCAAUGGCAGCACUGCACGGACACUGAGAGCCCAUUUCUGAGGCUUCGGUGGCUCCUCGAGGCUGAAGAGCCACCUGUCACGGCCCCGCCCAGUACUGCCCUCGCCCUUCACGCAGGCUGGGCUGUCAUUACUCCCAGCUUCCGGGGUGUGGGUGACACAGAAGGGAGGGAGGGUGGCAGCUGCUGAAGAGGAAAUGUGCCAGGUUGUGCCUCAGAGGGGGCCAGCGACAGCAUGAGGCAGAGGGCAAAGCUGGGCGCUGGGGCCCACACGGCCCCUGUGGGCAUUGACAAAUCUCAUUUAACCGUAUGAAAAUGAUUGACUGACACUGCUGUUACCACGCCUAGUGUGUGACACACCACUUAAAUUAGGUCCUGUUCCUUCCAUGUAGUUCCAUGUGAACACACUCUUUCCCCCUGAUCAUCUCUGCGUCUCCAUCUGUAACACGGGACGGCGGCUGUGGGGCCCAUGAGGGGCGGGCUGUGUGCGGAACAGCAGUCCGGCCAGAGUACAGAGAACCAGAAGCGGUCAGUUCUGGUGGCAUUUCACGCUCUGCCCCCAGGGCUUUUCCUCCCACACCCUCUGAGUGACAGCCUGGACCUGGCUUUCAGUGGGGGAGAACCAGGGAGGCAGACACAGCCCCAGGAUCUCAGGAUGCCAUCAGUGUGGCUCCCUGGCCAGGCCUCCACCCCCCUAAACAUGACGUGGUGCUUCUUCAGUCCUUCUCUGGGGUGCUUGCAGGGAGGCCUCGGUGACCUGAGGUGACGGGGGCCCAUGUUCGCACUGAGAUCCCCUCUGGAGGAAGAAAUGCCCCCGACGACACCAGGCGCGCAGAACCACCUGUGAGAGAAGCCGCACAGAGGCAGCCUCCACCCCUUCCUUCGACAGGCAGACGCUGAGCACACUCUGCUCAGCAACAGAUGGCCACAGGCUCCUGACACACGACCCCGGCCGGCCUCAGGCUGAGAGGAAAGCCUGUCACACACACCGCAUGACUCCAUUUACACAGCAUUCUUAGAACAACAAAUUGUAGAGAUGGAGAGUGGACGGUGGGGGCCAGGGAAGAGGGGAGGUGGCUGUGGCUGUGACGAGUCCACAGGAGGGCCCCUGUUGGACAGAGAUGUUCCAUCUUGGCAGUGGUGGUGGCCACACGAAUCCAUACGUGUGCUAGAAUUGCACAGAUCAAGACAUGCACACGAAUGCAUGUAGAACCAGUGUGAGCUGAGUGAGAUGGGUGGGCUGAGUCUGUGUGGUCUCCCAGCUGUGAUCUGAUACCACAGUCACCGCAGCCCUGCAAGAUGCCACCACUGAAGGACACCGGGUAGAGGGCACACGGCAUCUCUGUGUUAGUCCUUAUGAUUGCAUGCAGAACUGCAAUUAUCUAAAAAUAAAAAUGUUUUUAAAAGACCGUAGGGUGGACCUGCUGUUCCUGCUGCACCUGCACAUGGGCCGCAUCCUCUCCUAGGAGGCUGCAAUGUGGCUACCCACAGGAAGGGCGCGACCUCGUGUUUACUCACCUUGCCCUUCGAGGAACCAACCCUUGUUGUUGUGAGAGGAAGCCGAGGCCAGAAGAAACCUCAAGGUCCCCCUCGCAAGCACCGUGGAGGACACCCAACCGCAGCCCUGAAGCCUCCAGGCCUCGUGGAGCUGCAUCUCCCUCAGGAAGUGGCCCAGCCGAGCUCUCGACUCUGGGACUUUGGUCCUGUUGACAGGGGUGGAGCCCUCCUGACUGCCUCUCAAACCAGCAUCGGGCAGAAGAGCAGCUUCCAGCUUCCAGAACGGCUCCAACUUCCUAUUAAAAGACCCACAAAACUCAGAGCGUCUGCACCACGGGGACCAGCAGCCUCAACACAGCCCCGCUCUCUCCAGCCGGUUGUUAAGCCUUUCCCAGCAGGCAGCUGGUUGCGACCUGCAGUGUGAAAUGCCCUGUUCUGGUUGAUGCCCCUCACCUGUCUCACCCACCUUUGUCUUUAGGUGAAGAGACUAAAGCGAGGUUGGGGAGAGCCUGGGACCCAGGACGAGUUGGGGUCCAGCUGGGAGAGGUACCCUGUCUUCUGAGUCUGGGUCCAAUGCUGUCACACCCACAAAGUGCCCCCUGCCACCUCUCCCUCCCUGGAGGUGAGGACUGUCUGUACAUAGCGGGCGUGAGGCUCCAGGGCUGGAGGCAGAACCCUGCCUUCUGGGCUGUGGCCCUCCAGAGAUGUGGACAUGGGGCAGGCGCCUGCUCCAGGCCCGUUCACUCUCCCGCACAGCCCAGGACCCACGCAGCCCAACGCUGGUCUGCUUGGUCGAGCAACUGGUGCUCAGCUGGGCGGGUCUGGGCCAGGGCAGGCAGGGGCAGGGAUCCGGCCAGCUCUGGGGAGCUGUGGGGUCAUGGUUUCUGCCCGUUCUGCUGGUGGGCGUGCUUCCCCUACACUCACGCAGGGUACCUUGUGUCGGAGGCAGGGGAAGAGUCGAGGGUGCACGCAGGAACAGGAGCCCUCAGGGCCGUUCCUCCCAGGCCGUCCGGUGGAGCAUCUGAUGGGAACUGCUUGCAGUCCGUGUGGCCGCACGCAAGGCCCUCGCUUCCUGGACAAAGUGCCUGUGAGCAGCCUUCCAAAGCGCUACUUUCCCAACACCAGUUUCAGUCACUGCGAAGCGACAUCACGGGAAGUUCGAGGAAGGCCCGAUGCUCCUGCCUCUCUCCGCGCACGCCAUCGUCACGUCGUGAUGGAGGUGCUGACAACAGGACUCCACCCCUCCCUCCAGAACACCGUGUCCCUCCACAUUUCACUGUGUGGGCACGGAGGCCCCGCAGGUUUGCCCUGGGCCAUGGGACCGCCCAGCUGGGCCCCGUGGGCUCCUGUGUAUGUGAGGGGACCAGGUAAAGGAGGCCACAGUCUCACACCCCAUCAGAGCCCCCUGCAUCGUUCAGGUCACACGACAGCAGGCACAAUUAGGGGCCCUCUUUCCCCUGGAGGAAGCACCGUGCGAGCAGCAAUGUGCCCCUAAUGAGGACAUGGCCCUGACGACGCCAGCACAGACAAGGCCCAUCACCCUGUGGUCCAGCCUUCAUCUCUGCCUCUCCUACUCGAUGGACCGCGGCAGAGACAGCAGCUUCGAGCAGCCUGGGCAGGAGGAGGAAAGGCGGCUGGAGGACCCGUCAGACAGACGGGCCCUGGGCUGAAACGUACUUUGGACUCCCGGCUGGAUUAUCAUCUGCAAUUCUAGCUAAACUCUGGCUUAUGCGGUCGGAGGGACUCAGAAUAUAAAUUUAUGGAGAUAAAGUCGCUAACUCCUGGGAUGUCCCCUGAUCCUACACCCACUCUGAAGCUACCUUUGAAGUAAAGAUGUGGAGUCGUAGGAGAGGUCUCCGUCUCAUUAAGGUGGUUCUUUAAAACCAGAUUUCUAUUUCACCAGGCUAGAAGUGUAGGGCCAAUCAGAGCGUGGUGAGCAGGACCCACCACCACGGGAAUGACCUCUAUUCCUUACUCCGCAGGGAGAGCCGCCUUCUGGGACCUGGACUCAGGCAUGCGACUGCUCUGCUCACACCCCGGACUGGAGUCGGUCUAAAAUCCCAAACCCCACCAUGCAAACAAGCCCCUGUGUGAUCCAGCUCUGCUAUCCUCCGACCUUGCCUCCCACCUUCUCGUGAAGGCAUCUCAUAGACUUUCACCAGGAUGGAUGAUGUUGGCAUAGCACCACAAAGCACAACUUCCUCCUCUGAGAUGUAAAUGCACGAGGGAGGCCAGCAAACAGGCUUCUUCACGCGGUGGUGAGAUGUGCCCUACAGCAAGAGCAGCAACCCCAAGAUCGUGCACUCGUCAAGCAUCUGCUCAUGUCCCAUUGGUCAAACAAGCCAAGUGGCCGUGCCCAGCAACAGCAUGCAGAGGGCCCACAGGCUCAGAAGCUUGCCAGCAUGCAGGCUGAUCAAUCUCACUGUUUUUUUCAACAAAAUCUCAUUGUUUCUGAAUUGUCUUUAUAGUAACCUGUGAGAAAUAGGAACGGCUGACUGGGAGAGCCUCACCAAGUGUCCUGCUGACAAGUCUUCUCAAGCUCCAGAUUGUGGGGGCCAGCCGGCUUGCCCAGGGCUGUCCCAGUUCCAGCAUCCAAAGAAACCCCUUGGUCCUGGGCAGACUGAGAUAGCUGGUCACCCUAGAAUCCCCCAUGAGAUCUGAGACACUGCCACCCAUUUCACAGUUGAGGCUGUCAUGAUUGGGAGCUCACGGCAGCUCCUGGAGGUCACACAUGCACCUGGCACAAAAUUUAAACAGUACAGGAGGUGGAUGAAGACCAGCAGAGCCUUCGCUCACCCCAUGCCCUAGCUCAAACGGCGUUGAGUUGUCUCAGCACCACAAGUGGACUAAUCUUUUCAAGACGGCCUGAAGUCACUUUUAUCUGCAGAUUCCGCUGGGAACCUCAGUGAGACGCUGAGCUUUCUAAGAUGCUAACUCAUCUGCUUCUGGACCAGCACUACCACCACCACCAGGAGGACUUUCAACCAGUAUUUGUGUGGCUCUUUUGAUUUUUACAUGUCUAAUAAAAAAAUAAGCCGGAAAUGUGGAUGUUAUUUCAGGACCAUUUCCCCAGGAUGCUUUGCACAUCUUUCCAUGUAAACCCUCCGAGUCCCUCUGUCUCAGGCCUGUGCCUGCACACCCUCCGAGUCCCUCUGUCUCAGGCCUGUGCCUGCACACCCUCCGAGUCCCUCUGUCUCAGGCCUGUGCCUGCACACCCUCCGAGUCCCUCUGUCUCAGGCCUGUGCCUGCACACCCUCCGAGUCCCUCUGUCUCAGGCCUGUGCCUGCACGCCCUCCGAGUCCCUGUGUCUCAGGUCUGUGCCUACACACCCUCUGAUCCCUGUGUCUCAGGUCUGUGCCUGCACGCCCUCUGAUCCCUGUGUCUCAGGUCUGUGCCUGCACGCCCUCUGAUCCCUGUGUCUCAGGUCUCUGCCUUCACACCCUCUGAGUCCCUCUGUCUCAGGCCUGUGCCUGCACGCCCUCCGAGUCCCUCUGUCUCAGGCCUGUGCCUGCACACCCUCCGAGUCCCUCUGUCUCAGGUCUGUGCCUGCACGCCCUCUGAUCCCUGUGUCUCAGGUCUCUGCCUUCACACCCUCUGAGUCCCUCUGUCUCAGGCCUGUGCCUGCACACCCUCCGAGUCCCUCUGUCUCAGGCCUGUGCCUGCACGCCCUCCGAGUCCCUGUGUCUCAGGCCUGUGCCUGCACACCCUCCGAGUCCCUCUGUCUCAGGCCUGUGCCUGCACACCCUCCGAGUCCCUCUGUCUCAGGCCUGUGCCUGCACG